rnacentral:rRNA from 1 species
AGUGAACGCUGGCGGUAGGCCUAACACAUGCAAGUCGAACGGCAGCACAGUAAGAGCUUGCUCUUACGGGUGGCGAGUGGCGGACGGGUGAGGAAUACAUCGGAAUCUACUUUUUCGUGGGGGAUAACGUAGGGAAACUUACGCUAAUACCGCAUACGACCUACGGGUGAAAGCAGGGGAUCUUCGGACCUUGCGCGAUUGAAUGAGCCGAUGUCGGAUUAGCUAGUUGGCGGGGUAAAGGCCCACCAAGGCGACGAUCCGUAGCUGGUCUGAGAGGAUGAUCAGCCACACUGGGACUGAGACACGGUCCAGACCCCUACAGGAGGCAGAAGUGGAGAAGAUUGGACAAGGGGCGCAAGCCUGAUCCAGCCAUACCGCGUGGGAGAAGAAGGCCUUCGGGUUGUAAAGCCCUUUUGUUGGGAAAGAAAAGCAGCAGGUUAAUACCCCGCUGUUCUGACGGUACCCAAAGAAUAAGCACCAGCUAACGUCGUGC